rnacentral:lncRNA from 1 species
CGGCGCUCACUUAAAUGUCUACUUUCUAGAUAAGACAAUAUAUCUCACAGACUUUCUAUCAAACACAUGACAAUAUGUCCAACUCCAUCACAUUUACAAUAGAUUUGUUAAAUCACCAACGACUUCAACUACAUUUAACCUUAACAGAUUCCAAUAUUAUAAAAUAAACAUAUAAGUAAUGAGAUCUUACGGAAAUUGUUCAUUUUUUCUUCUCAAAUGCUCACCAUAGCCAAAAACCUAUAACACUAUAA